rnacentral:rRNA from 1 species
GGUGCAGCAGGCGCGAAAACUUUGCAAUGCGGGAAACCGUGACAAGGGAACUCUGAGUGCCCGUUAAAUCGGGCUGUCCAUCGGUUUAAAUAACCGGUGAAGAAAGGGCCGGGCAAGACCGGUGCCAGCCGCCGCGGUAAUACCGGCGGCUCGAGUGGUGGCCACUAUUACUGGGCUUAAAGCGUUCAUAGCUGGUUUGUUAAGUCUCUGGGGAAAUCUUCCGGCUUAACCGGAAGGCGUCUCAGGGAUACUGGCAGACUAGGGACCGGGAGAGGUGAGAGGUACUCCAGGGGUAGGAGUGAAAUCCUGUAAUCCUUGGGGGACCACCUGUGGCGAAGGCGUCUCACCAGAACGGCUCCGACAGUGAGGGACGAAAGCUGGGGGAGCAAACCGGAUUAGAUACCCGGGUAGUCCCAGCUGUAAACGAUGCGCGUUAGGUGUAUCGGUGACCACGAGUCACCGAGGUGCCGAAGAGAAAUCGUGAAACGUGCCGCCUGGGAAGUACGGUCGCAAGGCUGAAACUUAAAGGAAUUGGCGGGGGAGCAC